ACACCCCAGGCGUAUACAGUAAUCAGAUAGGCGCGUCUAACCGCUUUGAUUACAUCGUAUUGCGUGGUUUUUCGGACGGUAGUCUGGAUAACGUCUAUCUCGACGGGUUAAAAAUGAUGGGCGACACUUCCUGACUGACCGAUAGUGAACCAGUACCGUGAGGGAAAGGCGAAAAGAACCCCGGCGAGGGGAGUGAAAAAGAACCUGAAACCGUGUACGUACAAGCAGUGGGAGCACAGGUUUACCUGUGUGACU
rnacentral:rRNA from 1 species